rnacentral:rRNA from 1 species
CGCCUGUUUAACAAAAACAUGUCCUUUUGAAUAUAUUUAAGGUCUAACCUGCCCAAUGAGGGAUUAAAUGGCCGCAGUAUUUUGACUGUGCAAAGGUAGCAUAAUUAUUAGUUUUUUAAUUGAAAGCUUGUAUGAAGGGUUGGACGAGAUAAAACCUGUCUUUAUUUAAGUUAUAAUAGAAUUUAACUUUUAAGUCAAAAGGCUUAAAUUUAUAUAAAAGACGAGAAGACCCUAUAGAUCUUUAUUUAAUUAAUGUUUUAAUAAUUUAAGAUUAUUUUAAUUUAAAGUUUUAAUUAAAUUUUAUUGGGGUAAUAUAAAGAUUAAAAUAAUUCUUUUUUUUUAAUACAUUGAUUUAUGAAUAUAUGAUCCAAUAUUAUUGAUUAUAAGAUUAAGUUACCUUAGGGAUAACAGCGUAAUUUUUUUGGAGAGCUCAUAUCGAUAAAAAAGUUUGCGA